UGCGGCUGCAGGGCAUCUACAAGACAUUUGCCCAAAGUCUUGAAGCGUGAUCACGUGUUUGCCAAGCAGAGGAGGAGGGAAGGGUGCUCUGAGCCAAAGGCACAAGGGCACAGCAACAUCCUGAAGGCAGCCUGCCUAGGAGGGACACAGCAGCGGGGCCAGCCACAGGACACAAAUCCCAUUUAAGCAGGAGGUAGGGAGGACCAAGCCCUGAGAGAAGAAUAUCCAAGAUCACGCCCACCAUCGGCCAAGGCUGCUCCUCUCUGGGAUUUGCCACCGCAGUGAGUGGUGCCUCUGGGACCUGGCCGAGAGCUGGAACCACCUCCAGCUCAGGGGACAUUUGGACACAGAGACAGACACGCACAGAGGGAAGACGAUGAGAAGAAACCCAAGAAGAUGGCCGUGUGACUGAAGUGAUGCAUCUACAAGCGAAGGGAUGCCAAGGAUUGUGGACAAACACCAGAAGCUGGGAAGAGGCCAGGAAGGAUUCUCCCCUGGGGCCACCCGGGAGAGCACUGCCCUGCCGACACCUUGGCCUGGGACUUCCAGCCUCCAGAACAGUGAGGCAUAAGUUGCUGUUGAUAGACCACUAUUUGUUUCGUUCCUGUCCUUCCAGAAACGUUCUCUGCCUAUACACACUCAGGUUAUAUCCUUCACACACCUCACAUCAGGAUCCAGUGGAGAACUCCCAGGCCUAGGAGAUGGCAGAGCCACCACGGGGAAGGAGUGACUGAAUGGAGCAGAGCCCCACCAUCUCCCUGCGUUGGACUGUGCUGAGAGGAACAAAGCUUCACUGUGUUAAGCAACGAAACCUGGGGCUGUUUGUUAUAGCAGCUAAGCUGACAGAUACAGUGGGGAGGAAAGCAGAGACGGGUGUGUAGACCUGAGAGUUCUCUGGUGGUUAAGUCAUGGGAUUUGCGAUCGAUUGCAUACGGAAUGAGGGAUGAGGAGGCAUUGGAGGCCCCCUGUCUUACUGCCCACGUGUCUUACUGAACGGAGGUGCCUUUUACUGUGGGGAGAGCCUCAGGUGGAGACCUUAAGGUUGGUGUGUCUAAGACCCCAGAGUGAUGUCAAGAAGCUCUUCUCUUAGCCUUGCAACCCAAGAUAGUGUGGCAGCUCCUCUUGGGAGCACUUCUUGGUAGUCAAGGCCACCUGUCGUUCAUGAGGGAGAGAAUACAAAGAGUGUCUGUCUCUGGAGCCAUCAUGCUGCCCUUGGCCAGAACCUAUCCAUGUGGUCAGGAAUACUGGCUGUUCCCUCCCAGACCAGCACACCCUCCACCAUGUCCAGACUUUGGACCCCAAGCUGUAUGUAGCAAGGCUAGCUUUGGGACAUAGUCUAUUCUUUUUUUCCCCCUUUCAACAAAUAUUUCCUGAGUGCCUACUAUAAUAGUAAUGUUAAAACUACAAUUUAUUGAGCACUUCCCACGUUCCAGACCCUACGCCAAGCAGUUUACUACAUGACUUCAUUUAAUCUUUAAUCAACAGAGAUGAAAACUAUUAGUGGCCCCAUUUGACAAGUGGGGAAACUGAGGCUCAGAGAGGUCAUGUAAGGGAGGCCUUGAACCCAGGUCAGCAAACUCCAGAGUCCAUUAUCCCAGUCAUGGAGCCAACCCUGCCCUGAGCAUGACAUUGACACCGUCUCCCAGAGCUGAGUGUGGCCCGAUCUCUUGGCUUCUCCUAGUGAUAGCUCCUUCAGUUCCUCAUAGUUCUUGCUCCUCUCAGUUGGGUAGUGGCUGCUUUUUCUACCCAACACAUUGGUACAUCCUUUUCCUUUGUCUUCAGGAGGCCUAGGGCCAGGACAACAUUUUUCAUUUCCCUCCCCCGGAGGGAAUUGUCACUGUGCUAGAUCUUAGGGUCUAGAUUACUGGUCCAACCACUGUUGGCAUGGUACAGAGAUCACAUGAACCCCAAACCAUGACCCCUGAUGGGCACCGAUUCCCAGGCAGCCACUGUCUUCAGAAGGGGGCUUAGGCCUGGCAUCCAGAGCAGUUCCUAAGCUGGUUUGGAAACCCACUUCAACCAACUUAGUCCAAAAGUAGAGUUUAAGAUAUCACAGAAUCCAAGGGAGGGUUGAGCCAAAACCUAGAACAGGCACCCAGAUGCCACUACAGCCUUCUCUGUAUCUCUUAUCUCUGCUUUUUGAGGACGGACACAGGCAGAGGUGAUGUUACCCACCUAGCAUCACUUCUCAUUUAAAAUAACCCUGAUUUUGUUCAGCAAUAUGCUCAGCUAAAUACUCUCUGCCAGGUUCCUUUGCUGCAGCCAUGAGAUAUAGUUUUGGA